ACUGCCUGGAAGUCCUGCUCUGACUCAUCCCAGGACACAUUUCUGCAAGGCACAGCAGAAAAGGAGAAGUGACUGCUGAGCCCUGAUUGGGGGGGAGGGGAGCUGGCCCCAUGGAAGCUUAGAACAGGGAAUUUUAGUCUUACUCAUCAUAUUAUUUUUAUAUUUGGUUUUUCAGAUGUAAGCCUCAGUGUUUCUGUCAGCAUAUUAACUCUGUGUGCACCACAAGUUUGUCUGCUAGCCCCAGUGACUCCUUUAUGCCUGCCUCCAUGCACAGAUGCAUGACUUCCAGCUGGGAGCUUAGUCUGAUCCACUGCACUUUACUAGUGUUUGUCAGGAAUAAAUGGACUGCCUGAGAUCUGCAUCCCUCCCUAGUGAGGUCCAUAUUCUGAAUGCUGGUGCCAAGAUUCACACUCUCAGCUACUGCCAGUAGUGAGACCUGUGCUGUCACUCAUGCUGAGCGCUGCAAGCUCCAGACUGGAUGGUGCUAUGGACCCUGCACAUAUGCUCAGAGAUUUUCCCGCCGCCAAAGGCUUUAGAAGGCCUCACUCCUGGUGAACUCCCAGUAAGGACAAGUCUUCCCCCCUCUAUAGAGGUGGUUUACAGGAAAUGCAUUAAAAAGUACAAUCAGUUUCCCUACUUAUUCACGGGGUUCAAUAAAUUUCAAAUCAGAUGUGGGGUGAUGUGACCUUUUGCUGAUGGAACCUUAUGGGAGCUUUCACCAAUCUCUGCUGUGAUGAAUAUAUCCCCUUGGGGCAUGGGGGGGCACUGGUUUUAGUCAUGGGUGCCUUCCGGCAGAUUGAAGCAGGUGCUAUCACCCUUUGAUUCCUUCAGCUUUCUCUCAUUUCAUUCAGCAGUAGUUAGUCAAAUUCGCUUCUCAUCACCUAGAGGUGAAGAUAAUAGCUUGAGACAAAAAGAAAUCACUGAUGAAAACCCCAUCUGGACCACCUCAAAGAGCACGCACUGUGACAGAUAGUAGAUUGGCAUUAGUGUAUAAGAGAAUUCCUCCAUAAUUAUUAGCCCUCGUACUGCCCACCCAUCUUGUGUUCAUGUCAUCCUCCUUUUCCCUUUCCAUUCUUUGGGCAGACAGACCUCAGUUGCUGAGUGUUGCUUCAGUGUAAAAUAACACAUGGUGCUUGUGGUGUGGGAAGGAAGCUGGCUGUGAGAGAUAAAGGUUGAGGUUAAGAGCAGACCGACUGUUAUGCUCCUGGGGCUUUGCUGCUCUUUGUAUAACCCUGGUGUGGCUGAGUGAUACAAAUCAGCACUACUUUUUCCGAUAAAACCCAUCUACCAGAGGAAAGCAGCAGCCAUACCUCCACAUCUUUUUGUAGUUUAUUACAGCCCUGACGUUCCAAAGGGUCUGGGUGGGUCAAAGGUUAGUUUUCCAUUGUAUUACUGAAAGAGAGCAACCAAGUUUGGUUGGGGCUCAGAGACUGAAGCCCCAAAAUUGAAAUUAAAGAAAAAAGUAUAUCAGAGGAGCUGCAAGAAACAAAAGCCUUUGGGGAAAUUCCAAGAUUGCCAAAGAAAAGAACAGUCACUGAGAAUGUUUGUGCAAAACCACCAUCUUCUCCUUCCUUCCCACAAGGACUAGUGCAACUCACUUUGAAAGAGAAAGAAAGAAUCAAGAGAGCAAGAAGCAUUUCAUCCAGCUGUCCCAUUCUGCAAAGCCCCACUGCUUUACUUCACCCAAACUAGCAGGCAGGCAAAAUCGUGCCAUUUGUGACCUACAGAAACAAAGCUCUAUGUUUGCAUGGGUGGGGGAGAGGUACAGUCAAGCUUAUCACCAGCUGGAAAAAAUGCAGAGUAGAAAUGUUCUGGUUGCUUUAUCUCCCCCCCACCCCUUCAUGCAAGACUUAAUUAUUUUUCUUCCCAGGAAAUGCAAAUCCUAAAUGUAGCCCAGAUUCAAUGCACAUGUUCAGAGAGACCAAAACUGAUGGUUUUGAAGGCUGAAACUAAUUGUUUCAUUAGUUGAAACAGACUGAAACUAAUGGUUCUAGAAGAUGCUGCACCAAAAUCAAUCUUUAAUUCUUCAGUGGAAAACAAUAAUUAAACAUAAGACAUGAAGCACUGAAAAGCAGAGAAGAGCUGAGCUGAUCUCAAAGUGGUCCUUAACCUAUCUUAAUAAAAACCUUCUACCUGAUCUUCUGAAGUUUUAUGCAGUAAGAAAAGUUCUUACAUUCCUGAGGGCUAUUGAAUAAGCAAGGGUGGAUUUACCAGGCAGGUCUAUGGCAGCUGCAGCCUCUCCCUUUGCAAUGCCCAGAGCAGAACAAACAUUACUGGACAGGACAACCUUGUCCAACCAUUCUGUCAUCUGAUUCAGGCUCAAGCUGAAUGCUCAGAGGGAAAGAGUACUGUGAGCAUCAUGAUAACUGAAACCUGGGACAAGAGUAAUGUUAAAUAAAGCUAAAACUGCUAGGAAAUUUCACAGAGAAGGGAAACAAAAAAUCUGCUCCUGAACAUAGCUCUAGCUCUGUCACAUAAUCCUGACGUAAGGAGGCUACUCCCUCUAAGAAAAUUUGGUGGAAUGAGAAUGGAAUUGGCAUAUAGAAACCUUCUGUCAUUCAAAUUACAAAACUUGCAUAUUUUGGAUACUGAUUUUAUUAAAGCAAAGUUAAAGCAUUUUAAAGCAUUUAAGCCAUAAAUAAAGCUAGUGAUGCUUUUUCCCUUAAGCUCUGAUUACAUGAAGGAAAGCUGAAAGCAUUUUUCUGCACUGGUUUAACUUUAAAAGUAGUACUGAUGCCAUAAAAUAUUUCAUAGGUCAUGUGCAGCUCUGAAAAGGAUUAGGUUAUUUAUUGGUAAAAUAUCUAGUAGCCCAAACAUUCCAAGAACAGCAGUUGAAUUCAAGAGAGCUCAGGACCUAUGAAAAUCAAGUCGUAAGUGUGUAAGAGGAGAAAAAAAUGUUUCCCUUUCACACUGUAGAAACUGUAAACAGAGUCAGAGUUUGAAUUAAAAAAACCUGUGCUUCAAUUAAUGUAGUAAAAGUUAUGUUUUGACCUAAGGUUGAAUUAAGAAAUUGGUGGACUAAAAUAUAGGUUAGUCUUAAAGUGAUGAAACUAUGUUUUGAGCUUUCAGCCUUCCUCUCAGUUUUCUCUUUCUCCUUUAUUCCAAUUCUUUUUUGGUCUGUCAGUUUUGUCAAUUAAUACACACAGCAAAAU